CAGCAGCCGCGGUAAUACGGAGGGAGCUAGCGUCGUUCGGAAUUACUGGGCGUAAAGCGCACGUAGGCGGCUUUGUAAGUUAGAGGUGAAAGCCUGGGGCUCAACUCCAGAAUUGCCUUUAAGACUGCAUCGCUUGAAUCAUGGAGAGGCGGGUGGAAUUCCGAGUGUAGAGGUGAAAUUCGUAGAUAUUCGGAAGAACACCAGUGGCGAAGGCGGCCCGCUGGACAUGUAUUGACGCUGAGGUGCGAAAGCUAGGGGAGCAAACAGGAUUAGAGACCCCUGUAGUCCCUGUCUCUUAUAU
rnacentral:rRNA from 1 species